rnacentral:lncRNA from 1 species
UACCAGCUCCAGGUCUGGAUUUAAAUUCCCCCUCUUUCCAUCAGGUUACCACUUACCUUACAUCUUUGUUUUUCAGAGCUGGAGUGGCCAGAGGAACAGGGUGACAGUCACAGAACCACAGAGCCACAGAAUCCUGGGAUCAACAGGGAGACAAGGCAUGAAGCUGUGUUACUCCCAUCCCACUACAACAAUUCCCAUCUCUGCAGACAAAAUAAGGUCCUCUUCACGCCCUUCAGCAGAGGAUAUUUGUUCUUUGGGUUACACCCCUGACAUCGACAUCAGCUUGCCCAGGAACACGAGGGUUCAACCCAAAGGCUUUAUGACCACUGGAAAGAAACAACAUUCCCAAGCUGGAGAGCAGGCUGCACCACAAGCACUGCUCAAACCCAAAGCAGAGAAACAGCUUCUUCCUGGCUCUUAUCCCUGAAGUGGGAUAAGGCUGGGACACCCUCAGUGCCAGUCUUGCAGAGGGUGAGGGACAGAAGCAUUGUCCUCCUUCGCCUGCAGCUCCCGACACCAAAAAUUCCACGCUUCAAAGAUGAGAGUUGAAGAGAAGAAUGUAACUGCACCACUAAAGAUCACAUUGCAGUGUGUACAAGACAUGAUUGGAGAUGCUGGGGUAAAAAGUACUAAUAACUCAAGCCUGAGGCAAGCACCUGUCUCAGAAAGUUCAGGACAUGCAACAAAAGUUUGGAAAGCAAUACCAAGUAAGGUUCUCCUCUCAGUGGGCAGCUGAUAUCUCCAGUUUCCAAGGUCAAUCCCAGUACAUGCAUAAAAUCAUUUUCUUCUGCCUUCUUAUGUAUCUCUUUAAUUAUAAGAACCGAAAGCCUCCUGAUUUUUGCAUUAUAAGAAACUAUAAUUAAGCAUACUUGAGGAUUCCCUGUGUAUCUUGCUAUUCAGUAGUUUUAAUAGCAGCAUUUCAUUGCAAGUGAAGACCUAAAAUUGGAAUAGUUAGACUCAUUCUCACACUCUGCAAAUGUUUUUAAAACUGUUAUCCACAGUCAAGCCUUAACAGUGUACUCCAAUAAGCAGAGAGUUGGUAAUUAGUCCUAUGAUUAACACUUUCCUUAGCCUGCUAUUCUGUAGCAUUCCAUUGAUUUGCAGUAGUUUCAAUACUGGAAGAAUCCUGGAAAUAUCUGGUAGCUCUCUUACAUAUGCCUGAAUUAUAUUUUUAAAUGUAUAUAAAAAUGUUACAUACAUGUAAACAUGAAAAUAUUUUAUAUGCAUAAAAAUGCUGUUCUCCAUAUAAUGAUCUCAUUAUAGUUUAAUUUCCCACCUAAGGCUUCUCUAUUCAGGCCUUCUAAAUAUUCAGAGAGAUAAGUUGUAAAGUGUUGAAAUACUGAUGACAGGGAUCCCCAUCUUCCUUGCUGAAGGUAUCAAAGUAAUUGAUCUUCUCCUCUCUGUUUCCUCUCUUGUUGUCCUCAUGU